rnacentral:rRNA from 1 species
UCGAGCGAACAGACGAGGAGCUUGCUCCUCUGACGUUAGCGGCGGACGGGUGAGUAACACGUGGAUAACCUACCUAUAAGACUGGGAUAACUUCGGGAAACCGGAGCUAAUACCGGAUAAUAUAUUGAACCGCAUGGUUCAAUAGUGAAAGACGGUUUUGCUGUCACUUAUAGAUGGAUCCGCGCCGCAUUAGCUAGUUGGUAAGGUAACAGCUUACCAAGGCAACGAUGCGUAGCCGACCUGAGAGGGUGAUCGGCCACACUGGAACUGAGACACGGUCCAGACUCCUACGGGAGGCAGCAGUAGGGAAUCUUCCGCAAUGGGCGAAAGCCUGACGGAGCAACGCCGCGUGAGUGAUGAAGGUCUUCGGAUCGUAAAACUCUGUUAUUAGGGAAGAACAAAUGUGUAAGUAACUAUGCACGUCUUGACGGUACCUAAUCAGAAAGCCACGGCUAACUACGUGCCAGCAGCCGCGGUAAUACGUAGGUGGCAAGCGUUAUCCGGAAUUAUUGGGCGUAAGGCGCGCGUAGGCGGUUUUUUAAGUCUGAUGUGAAAGCCCACGGCUCAACCGUGGAGGGUCAUUGGAAACUGGAAAACUUGAGUGCAGAAGA